rnacentral:rRNA from 1 species
UACGGGGGGAGCAAGCGUUGUUCGGAUUUACUGGGCGUAAAGGGCGCGUAGGCGGCCAGCACAAGUCAGUUGUGAAAUCUCCGAGCUUAACUCGGAAAGGUCAACUGAUACUGUGCGGCUAGAGUGCGGAAGGGGCAACUGGAAUUCUUGGUGUAGCGGUGAAAUGCGUAGAUAUCAAGAGGAACACCUGCAGCGAAGGCGGGUUGCUGGGCCGACACUGACGCUGAUGCGCGAAAGCUAGGGGAGCGAACGGG